UACGUAGGGUGCAAGCGUUGUCCGGAAUUAUUGGGCGUAAAGAGCUCGUAGGCGGUUUGUCGCGUCUGCUGUGAAAAUCCAGGGCUUAACCCUGGACCUGCAGUGGGUACGGGCAGACUAGAGUGCGGUAGGGGAGAUCGGAAUUCCUGGUGUAGCGGUGAAAUGCGCAGAUAUCAGGAGGAACACCGGUGGCGAAGGCAGCUCGCUGGGACGGUACUGACGCUGGAGGCGCGAAAGCGUGGGGAGCAAACAGG
rnacentral:rRNA from 1 species